rnacentral:tRNA from 1 species
AUAGAGGUGCCUAGCUGUUAAUUAGGAGAUUGUAGUUAUUCUACCCGUUUAGCGGCGCUACGCCGG